rnacentral:rRNA from 1 species
AUACGUAGGUGACAAGCGUUAUCCGGAUUUACUGGGCGUAAAGAGCGUGUAGGCGGUCUUGCAAGUCAGAAGUGAAAUUCCUGAGCUCAACUCGGGCGCUGCUUCUGAAACUGCAGGACUUGAGUGCUGGAGGGGAUAGCGGAAUUCCUAGUGGAGCGGUAAAAUGCGCAGAUAUUAGGAAGAACACCGGUGGCGAAGGCGGCUAACUGGCCAGUAACUGACGCUGAGCCGCGAAAGCGUGGGGAGCAAUCAGGAUUAGAUACCCUGGUAGUCCACGCCGUAAACGAUGAAGACUAGGUGUAGGGGGUAUCGACUCCCUCUGUGCCGCAGUUAACACAAUAAGUAUUCCGCCUGGGGAGUACGGCCGCAAGGUUGAAGCUCAAAUGAAUUGACGGGG